rnacentral:rRNA from 1 species
CAGCCGCCGCGGUAAUACGGAGGGUGCAAGCGUUAAUCGGAUUUACUGGGCGUAAAGGGUGCGUAGGUGGUUAUUUAAGUGAGAUGUGAAAGCCCCGGGCUUAACCUGGGAACUGCAUUUGUGACUGUAUAGCUAGAGUACGGUAGAGGGGGAUGGAAUUCCGCGUGUAGCAGUGAAAUGCGUAGAUAUGCGGAGGAACACCGAUGGCGAAGGCAAUCCCCUGGACCUGUACUGACGCUCAUGCACGAAAGCGUGGGGAGCAAACAGGAUUAGAUACCCCAGUAGUCCCUGUCUCUUAUAC